rnacentral:rRNA from 1 species
CCGAUUACCUGCAUCCAGACUGAUCCAGCCAUGCCGCGUGCAGGAAGACUGCCCUAUGGGUUGUAAACUGCUUUUAUAUGGGAAGAAUAAGGGCUACGUGUAGCUUGAUGACGGUACCAUAUGAAUAAGCAUCGGCUAACUCCGUGCCAGCAGCCGCGGUAAUACGGAGGAUGCAAGCGUUAUCCGGAAUCAUUGGGUUUAAAGGGUCCGUAGGCGGGCCAAUAAGUCAGGGGUGAAAGUCUGCGGCUCAACCGUAGAAUUGCCUUUGAUACUGUUGGUCUUGAAUAUGUAGGAAGUGGCUGGAAUGAGUAGUGUAGCGGUGAAAUGCAUAGAUAUUACUCAGAACACCAAUUGCGAAGGCAGGUCACUACUACAUUAUUGACGCUGAUGGACGAAAGCGUGGGGAGCGAACAGGAUUAGAUACCCUGGUAGUCCACGCCGUAAACGAUGGAUACUAGCUGUUGGGUUUUCGGACUCAGUGGCUAAGCGAAAGUGAUAAGUAUCCCACCUGGGGAGUACGUUCGCAAGAAUGAAACUCAAAUGAAAUUUGACGGA